GAAAAACCCUAUUACAACACUUUAUUUAUUUAUUCCACCAAAAAUAAAUCCUUUACAUAUACAAUAACAAUCCAUCUAAACCGAAAUCAGAAUACACCCACGCUGUUUUGGUCUUCCCUUUUCCCUUCUUCUUAUUUCCAUUCCCUAUAACUUCAUAAGUCCUUUUACCCCAAAGCUGCAAUCAUUAGCACUAUCAACUUUACCAGAAAAAAAUUCCCCGAAUGAUAACGAAGAAAGUACAAUUAGGAAGGGGGAAUGCAUCUACAUAGGAUUCACCAACUUACAAACCCCCAUUCAACAUCGGCGAUGAAGUGGAGGUUACCAUAGAAUAAGCCGGUUAUAGCAGAGUUCAUUACAAAAUCAUUAUUAUUAAGGCAUUAAAUCCAGUUGCUCACACUCAUUACCCUAAAAGAGAUAGAAAGAAAAAAGGAUUUUGGGUUGUGUACAAGUAUUUAUUAUCUGACGAUGGUAAAUCGGUGCCCAAAAGGGAGUUUGUUAGGAAGAAGUAUUUAAUUAGAAGUGUUUGGAGUAAUUUGCAGGCGAUUUAGAGGGAACAUUUUCAGCAUUAGGGUUUUCUCUAACUGCUGGAGGAGUUAUAAGAACAUAGACCGCCACUGCUACUACUCCGACCAAGUCUUUUCUCCGGCAUUGUUACCACCGUACCUCGAUUUCAAGAAGUCAGAAAGUAUGGCCACUGUACCUCGAUUUUGAAGUUUCUCCAACUUUAGCUCCUCCACUACUCCAACAACCACUUCAAUUUCACUUUAAUUUCUGAGAAAAUUUGGGGUUUUCUUUUUUAAUUUGGUGAUUUUAAGGUAAGCUGAAGGUGGUAGUGAUUUUUGAAAUGAGAAGGGGAAGAAAACCUGGCUGGACCAAACAAUAGUGAGUGACUCAGAAUCUGUGUACUCAUCGCACUUCUUUAGGGACUUUGUUUCUCUUCCCUGAUAUGAUUAUGGGUAGCGUGCAAUAGAAAGUGCGCACAAGGAGAUGCAGACUGUUACCAUUUAGCCCAUUGUUGUUCCUUCUAUAGCUGUUGAUGAGUUAAAAUACACCACAGACAACUUUGGUACGAAAGCCUUGAUAGAAGAGGGAUCAUAUGGAAGAGUUCUUUAACCAUGGUGUCCUGAAAAGUGGGCGGGCUGCAGCUAUUAAAAAGUUAAGACUCGAGUAAGCAGAUUGAUCGAGAAUUUUUAGCGCAGGUCAGGUCGAGGUUGUUCUCCUUUUACUAUCCUUAUAUUAUUAUACAUAAACCACUUACCUUGAUUGGUUAUGAUGUAACUGUUUUAGCUUUCCAUGGUAUCAAGAUUAAAGCAUGAAAAUAUGGUUGAGUUACUCGGUUAUUAUGUGGAUGGUGGUCUUUGUGUGCUGGCUUAUGAGUAUGCCCCAAAUGGAUCUCUCCAUGAUAUUCUUCGCGGUGUCCAAAACAAAGAAGGAGAUGAAUAAACAAGUGAUGAAGAAAUUGACCUUACAUGAGAAGAUUUUUGAAUUGUUGAUAGAUGCUUUAAUAUAGAUCUUUUUGAUAUUGAAUUUAGUGAAACUUAUCGUCACUCGAACUUGAUACUAUAUGGGAAAACUAAUGAUCAUUUGACUUUAUACAUUUUGCUUUUACAUUAA